ACAGCUAUAAAUAUACAGCAACCCCCAAAACCCACCAAACUACUAAUCCAUCCUAAUCUCAUCAGACUUACCAACGCAGAGCAGCAACAAUGGCUGCCACCAGAUUAAUAUCGCUACAUAGUAGUUCUAGGCCUUUGGGUCUUGGUCUUUCUUCUUUUUCCUCUUCUUCCUCUAUUACUGGUCUAAAAAAACUCAAUAAUUUGGCAUUGUCAUCGACGACGACUGUCAUGAUAAGGUGUGUAUGCGAAGAAGAGAAGCAGUGGCUAAGCAAGAAGAAGAAACAGUCGGUGGUGGUGGUGAAGGCGUCUGUGGCCGCUUCAGAGAGUAGUAAUGUCCUAAAAACUUCAAAGCCGCCGCACCAAACAAAUGCAGGAGAAAUAGGUAUGGCCUCUCUGCUUGCAAAGGUUGCUUUUACGGCCCUUCUGGUCUUAAGGGUCGUUACUAAACCAAGGCCAUGGAAAUUACAUCCCCAAAUGCUCAUUGAAAGGGUUAUUAUCGACUGUCGAUUUUUUACGUUGUUCGCUGUUGCGGGAUCCUUAGUUGGUUCAAUAUUGUGUUUUGUGGAGGGUUGUUUCAUGGUUCUAGAAUCCUAUUUCCACUAUUUUAAUUCAUUGUCCCAAAGUUCAGAUCACGGAGACGUGAUGCACUUACUAAUUGAAGCAAUAGAUAUGUUCCUCAUAGGAACAGCAAUGCUGAUAUUUGGGAUGGGGUUGCAUGCCAUGUUUGUGGGUUCAAAAUAUCUCAAAGGAAAAGGUUCACAGCUCCCCUCUUCAAACUUCUUUGGACUUUUCCAUCUCAAGACACUUCCAAGGUGGGUGGGGAUGAAGUCGGUUACAGAAGCAAAGUCGAAAAUCGGGCAAGCUGUGAUGAUGACACUGCAAGUAGGAGUGUUGGAGAAAUUCAAGAGUAUACCUUUGGUUACUGGAUUCGAUCUUGCUUGUUUCGCCGGUGCUGUAUUUGUUUCCUCAGCUUGUAUAUUCCUCCUCUCACAACUCUCUGUUGGAGCUGGUGAUGCCACUGCCACUAAUAAUAUAUCAUAAGAAUGAGAUAGGUCAUCAUCGACCAUCGCAGCUCUGUCUCUCAUCGCACAUCGCAGCUCUGUCUCUCAUCGCAGGGCCAUCGCAGCUCUGUCUCUCUCUUUGCAAGGUCAUCGAAGCAGCUCUUCUCGCAGCUCUAUCUCUCUCUUCGCAAGGUCAUCAUCGAAGUAGCUCGUCUCACUUGCUGGUUUUGGUUCUGGUUCAAUCGAAACCCUAAGAAGCUUCCAUCACUGGUCCCUGGUUCAUUCGGAGACCUAGGUUGGGUAUCUCGCUGAUCUUCUCUCUAUUCUGACCUAGCUCUCGUAAAAAGUGAACCUCCAUCACUGGUCUCUGGUUUAUAGUUUGCCGUGGUUAUGAGAAGAGUGCAUUACUACUCUUGACAGGUCAUUCAUCUCUCUCUUCUCUGUUGCCUUUCACUCUGUUUUGAAUGCACUGUAGUUUGGGUAUACAAUAUGGCUGACGAUAAAUUGCAAGCUAUUACUACUAAAUUAGAUGGUACCAAUUAUUCAUAUUGGUCUCAUGUAAUGAAAAAUUUUAUAAUGGGUAAAGGCAUGUGGAACUAUGUUAUUGGUAUGACUAUUAGACCUGUGAAAUCUCAAGAAACUGAGGUCGAUGUUGCUAAAUGGGAUAAGGAAAAUGCACAAAUUCUUACUUGGUUUCAUAAUUCAGUUCAAACUACCAUUGGUAUGAAUUUUUCCAAGUAUUCUACUUCUAAACAAGUUUGGGACUAUUUGAAGACUAUGUACCUUGAGUCUAACUUUGCAAAACAGUAUGAACUUGAGAUGUCUAUUCGCAGUGCUAGUCAGAAAUAUAAGUCCAUUCAGGAGUUCUACAAUGAGAUGACUACUUAUUGGGAUCAGCUUGCUUUGAUGGAACCGUCCGAUUUGCAGUUACUUGACAGUUAUAUCAAGUAUCGGGAGAAACAACAUCUUGUUCAAUUUCUCAUGGCCCUUCGUGAUCAAUUUGAGCCACUUCGAGGAGCUAUUCUUCAUCGGUCUCCCUUGCUUUCUGUGGAUGGUGCUGUCCGUGAGCUUAUUGCGGAAGAAACUCGGUUUAAGGUGGCUCAUGGUACUCCUGCUUCCCAGUCAGUUUUUGCCACUCCUCGGCUCUUGCCCACCCUAUCUUCUCAUUUAUUUCAAGUUACUGGUAAGCCCAAGCCUCGGUUUUCCAUGGAUGAGUGUAGCUUCUGUCAUCAGAAAGGCCAUUGGAAACAUGCAUGUCCUAAACUUUUGCAGCCCAAGGGUUGUUCAUCUGGUUCACCAUUCGCUAAGCCGACAUUUUCAGGAUCUCGCUCAUCUGUCGCCUUUUCUGCACCAGUUUCUGAGAAUGAUCCAUCUUCCAAUAUGCAGUCUAUGUUUGAGCAGUUCAAGUCUUUCAUGGUGGCCAAUCCAAAUCUUUCGUCCCAAACCUCCGCUAUGACUACCACUCAGUUCGGUUUGUCUGGUUCAUCCUCUUCAGGACCGGGUAUCUAAGAGGCAGAUUGGGAUCGGGCGUAGAGUUGGAGAACUAUAUAUCUUGGACAGCUUGCAUGUUCCUCUAGAAGUGUUUUCUACUGCAUUGUCUUCUUUUUGUUUAAACAAUAAGUCCUCUUUGUUUUAUAUUUGGCAUUCUAGGUUAGGUUAUCUGUCGAGUUAUCGGUUGAGGAUGCUAGUUAGGUCUGGACAUUUAGGUAAUUUUCCCAUUAGUGAUAUUUCUAAGUGUCGUGGUUGUAAACUGGCUAAAAUGUCUGCUCUUCCUUUUAAUAAAAGUAAUUCUAUUUCAUCUUC